ACCUGUUCCCAUGCCGAACACAGAAGUUAAGCUCCCUAGCGCCGAUGGUAGUCGGACUUACGUUCCGCAUGAGUAGGACGUUGCCAGGC
rnacentral:rRNA from 1 species